AAUCUUUGAAUCUCUGUUUUUAUAGAACAAAUAGAAACAUGGAAAAAAUGCUCUAGACUAGGCAGUGUUAUUAGUUUGUGACAAAGCGAGCACCACACCUGCUGUCUGUGCUUUUGUUAUACUUAAUGAUGCAUUUUAUUUGCUUCAUAUUUGCAUUAUAUUAUUGGAAGCAACAUUAUUAAUUUAUACUAAUUUGCACACUUUUUAAUAUGAUUUAUACCAGAUAUCCUAACAUUUUGGUCAAGGGUAAGAAAAAUGUAUAACCUUGUUUCAAGCUAGAGUAAGUAUUCACAUAUUUCAUUAUUCUGAUCAAAAUACAAAUAUUCCAUCCUUAGUUGCUAAGGUAUACUGCAUUUGCGUAGUGCAUACAUUAUCCUCCAUCUUUCAUUUAAACAAAGUAAUAUAUAUGAUCCAUGACUCUUGUUUGUUAUUAUGAAAUUUAUCUUGUUUUCUGUUUUCUACUAAUCUUCUUCUCUUUUACCCCUUGCUUUCAAAGUGCAGUUGUGCUUUUCGGUGAAAAUCUCAGUGGCUGCCAUUGCGCAUGCCAUUAGAGGUCAAGAAUCAGAAAACUCCAUGAAGCCCUCCAAGUUAUUGAUAUCAUACUGAGGCAACAUUCUGCAAAACGAUGUCUCAGUUACAAGGAUUGCUAAACCUGGUCAUGUUACCAAUUUUAUUCUUGCUAACCAGAAAGUUGAUCGCCCUGACAGGGUUGACUGGCAAAAGGUCGUGUGAUUGCAAGAAUUUGCUUUAUUCUGGUCUUGAUUUGCUCAGUGCUUUUGUGUUAUGAAUUGAAGGCUCUUCUACUUUUACAUAAAGAAACACAUGGAUUUAUUGGCUGCCCUCAUAUUGUAGUGGACACACCUGUAAGGUUUUAUCUCUAGCUAGAGAGAAGGACCUUUGUUUGAAGAAUGUGAGGCAUUUCAUUCUUGCUGAGUCCCGGGGAUGGUGGUUUGCACGCAGACCAACGUGAAGCCCACCAUAAUCUAUUUAGACCAUUAGCUAGUACUUUUUCCAUGUUAAGUGCCUGGUAUAACAACCUUACUUUAUAUACUUGUUGGAACACUAUGUUAAAUGAUGUGCAAUUUUCCGUACUUGUUAUGGUAAUUCCUUGCUGUAGAAUUAACCUUGAUAAGUAUGUAAAAAUAUGUGACUAGGUGAGCUUGACAAAAUGCCACCAUUUUCUGAAUAUUCGAAUCUUCUUUUCGUAAUGCAUUAUGUUAACUCUGUAGGAACAUGUGGGCAAUCUUGUGAUACACAAUAUUUUUAUUGAUUAAUUACUGCCAACUGGAUAUCCUUAUGAUGCACAUAUUUCCUUGUAGGAUCUCCCUAGUUUGACUAGCAGUUUCAGUAAAGGAAGUCAAAUAUAAUGAGUGAGAGGGAGAUCUGCUCUGGGAGACAUCGCCGGGGCUGGAUAGAGGUUUUAGAAGCCUGUGAGCAUAGGACAUUGCUGUCCCCAUUGAUAGCUUCUUCCCAUUUUCUUCUAGUUGCAUUUCGACUACUUCCUGCUUUGCCUUCGCCCUCACUUCAUUGUUUUGGGAGAAGAGAAUCAUCAGGACUGUCCUCAUGCUGCUAUUUCAUAGGCGUGGUGUACAUAUUCUAUCCUCGCCAAGCACCUUCCACGCUACGGCUUGGUCGAAGGAGACAUGCCUGACAUCCCCGACAUGCACAUGCCUGACGGCAGAAUUUUUUUCGGACCUGUUUUGUCAAGAGGUGGUCGGUUAAUUUCUCUGCACGGUGUGAUGUUCGAGGUCUUGGCCGAGACCUUCAAUGGAUUACAUUAUUUUUUUUCAAGAAAAACCAUCAUACCAGAUCCUUUCCGACUGGAUCUCCAGAGAAUGUUCCUCUAGGUAAACUCUAUUUUGAUCCUACUUUCCUUAUAGAGUGAAACAUCGCCCUUGUCAUGUAAUUGUUGUGAAAUGAGGUAAAAACGGGUGUUAAUGUCAUUCUGUAGGUACUGUGGCGGCUAAGCAAGUCGGCCAUCCCAAGAAUUUCGACUUGUACAUGAUAACAUGAUUGUAAGCAAUCGCUGCUUUCUCCUCUGUUUAUCGUUACCACAUACCAAUAGGUUGGUGGUAGUUUGCAGGUCUCUUAGGUUACCUUGCAAUUUACGUCGGGCUAAUUUCUUUGUGUUUGUUGUGUGUGCCAGGGAACCUCAAGGCCAACACAUUACCAUGUUCUUCAUGAUGAGAUCGGCUUCACUUCUGAUGCGCUUCAUGAAUUUGUGCAUUCCCUUACGUGAAGGAGUGCAGUUGCAUGUUGUACAGUGGUGGUUGCCGUCGCCUCCUGCGCAUAAUGCACGGUUUUAAUCCUGUAUGGCAUUUGUGUUCCAUUACCUCGUGUACUUCCUCUUCGACUCCUGCUGCUGCGACCCAAAAGGGGCAGCGGUGGCCUUAUUCUCCACCUCUACGUUUUUGAAGGACUAGAUGAUGGCAUCUGCAGCUGGAUUCAUCUCGCAGCUCGACGAUGUCAUUGGGUCCGAACCGAGCUCAGCUGCACUGUGACAUCCAGCCCGACCAGAAGGAUAUUCUAGAGGACUAGAUGGCUGAUACCGGCUAUGCAUCUCUGCUCCUGUGGUGCUGCUACAGUGCUGGCCUGGCCCUUGUGUGAUUUAUUAUUGAAUUUGCUUGUAAUUUUGACCUUGCAUCGUCUAUUUAUUUUUUGUAGUGUGGUUAGACUACUGUUGAUAAUUUGAUCUGUGUUGUAGAUGUUGAGAAAACGAGUUUGAGUUGACGCAAAAAAAUCUGGUGCUCCAUCUAAUUAACCGUUGGUGUAUCCCAAGAAUCAUGGAAGCUGAGCAUUGUAGAUUUUCAAGCAAUCAUAUGUAUGCUGGCUUCUUGCGCUAGCUGGUGCUGCGUGUUGUCAUGUUUUUAUAUCCAUAUUACUACUACCUCUAGCCUUAUAUACUUGUCGCAGAUUUUGCAAAAUAUAGCCUAAAUUUUAUCUAGACUCUCUCAACCAGUUACAAUUAUAUAUCAGGAGCUGUGUAAACUCAAUUAUUCAUAAUUUAAGGUUGUGUGCUAUACCAU